rnacentral:misc_RNA from 1 species
CCGCUCUAACCAACUCUCGCGCGCGUUCGCCAGCGCAGCGACUCUUCCACUUCGAGAAACCGCGGGCGGGCGCGACGACGUUAAGCGCAGCCGUCGACGCCGCCGAGCGCCUCGCUUGUUUGCCGGUUACUGGCUCCUCCGCGAAGGAAUGCGAUAUUUCGGGAAGUCGGGCCGAAGCCCGACGGGGAAGCUGCUGCCCUGAGUCAAAACAGGCGCACACCGUGCUGUCGACAUGCCCGGCCUUCGGCGGGCCCACAACCAAGUACCACCGCUGAUCCGCGGAGAAGCGCAUUUGCGGCAACACCACGGAGUCGAGGCGCGCGAAGCGCCUCAAGACAAGCGUCCCCGGAGUUGUUCGAGUUCGCCGCCGCGAGUUGAGUGACUGAGUGCGACGACGCCUUUGGUCGAGCGCAGGAACGACGCUCGCGCUGCGGCGGUCUGCGCGAACCGCUGUUGCCGUUGGAACGAGGAACCACUGCCAAGAAAGAAGCGACGUCACUACGACGCGCGCUGAAGAAAAGCGCACGCGUGCGAGACGCGCGCGACUGCUAAGACGACGUUUAGCGGCGGCGACCUUGUCAGGCUUAACCAACCUGUCCCGUCGGAGAAGAGGACCUCAUUCCUCCUCGGACUACCUACGCUGACUUUUUGUUUCCUUCUUCUUUGCCUGUUAUUUCUUCCCUCGGCCGUCGGAGAAUUCGUGGUGGGACGAGUUGCGCAGAAAGAAGCGGCGACGGAAACGUGCAAAUGACGAGGCUCCGGAUGAAUCGCUAACCUCGGAGGGUCCCGGUUCGCCAUGGGCACGUCGGCGCCGGCGCGAACGAGUGCCGACAUCUCCCCCAGCGAAGGCGACCGCGACAGCAAACUUGGAGAACUGUCGUCGCCCAGCGAAGAGGACGCCGCCGCUGGUCUCGAAAAUGAUAUGCGACGUGGCGAGAACCGUCCCAGGAGUGCAAGCCUGCUGUCCAGGCUUAGCCAGUACAUAUGGCUCAUGCCACUGAUACACACUCACUUCUGGGUGUCAGCGGCAUUCUCCCUUAUGCAGCCGUACUAUCCUCGCCUCGCGGCAAAAGCUGGUCUCGAGGCAUGGAAGUACGGCUUCGUGUUUUCAACAUUCAAGCUAACAAUGCUUCUUGGAUCUAUAUCCACCGAAAGACUUAUGGUUCUUUCGACUCCACUUAAAUGCUACCUCUGUGGCCAAGUUGGCUUCUUCCUGUACAAUGUCAUGUUUGGGUCCCUUUACUGGUCACCGGGAGGAACCGUUUUCCUUGCACUCUCCUUGGUGGCAGUCAUCUUCGGUGGCUUCGUGCAGACAGUGUACCUAGUCUCAGCGUACUCAGUAGUCACCUCUGAGUUGCACCAGAGCAGCGGCGUCAUCAUCGCCAUCAUGGAAUUCAUGUUCGGAUGCGGGAACAUGGCUGGUUCCGUACUCGGAGGAGCCCUAAUCGACUUGUGGGAAUACCCUCUGCCAUUUUUUGUCCUGGGCACCAUAAUCAUCCUGUCGAUUCCUUGGAUUAUCAAGCACAAGAAGGUCCCGAACAAACAACCCGAAGCUCCACCUGAGGGGGCCCUGAUGCCUGCCCAAGGUUCGGAGAAAAAGCUGUAUCGGCUGCUUUGGGACCCACUUUUCAUGGUCAACAUGGUAACACUGAUGCUCUCCUGGGUCAUCAUGGGUUUUAACGAACCCACCCUGGAACCGUACUUGAGACAGUUCAACCUCAGCAGCACGCGACUUGGAGUACUGUACAUGGUACAGUUUGCAAGUUACACCGUGGGCGCGGCAUUCGCGGGACUGUUUUGUUACGUCAAGAUGGCAGCAUUUUUUGCUUUUGCUGGGCAACUGAUGACGGCUUUCGCCUACCUUAUACUUGGCCCAGCACCGUUUGUCCAACAAGACCCCUCUGGAUGGUCUACGUCUCUCAGACGUUCACGGGUGUUGGAAUGGCUGCCCAAUUCAUCUGCAGCUUCUCGUUAGCUCUCAGCCAUACAGCUAAGCGAGGCUACCCAGACGACAUACGGACUACUGGAUUCGUGUCAACUGUUGUAGUGACCUUCUUGGUUAUUGGUGCCAUUACGACACCCCCGAUAGCAGGGUAUCUCGUAGAAAAGUUCAGCUACAGACCGGGAUCUAUGUUCCUCUUCGG